rnacentral:rRNA from 1 species
UACGUAGGGUGCAAGCGUUGUCCGGAAUUAUUGGGCGUAAAGAGCUCGUAGGCGGUCUGUCGCGUCGGCUGUGAAAUCCCGAGGCUCAACCUCGGGUCUGCAGUCGAUACGGGCAAACUAGAGUAUUGAAGGGGAGACUGGAAUUCCUGGUGUAGCGGUGAAAUGCGCAGAUAUCAGGAGGAACACCGGUGGCGAAGGCGGGUCUCUGGGCAAUAACUGACGCUGAGGAGCGAAAGCGUGGGGAGCGAACAGG